CGUACACUCCUGCGGGAGGCAGCAGUGGGGAAUUUUGGACAAUGGGCGAAAGCCUGAUCCAGCCAUGCCGCGUGCAGGAUGAAGGCCUUCGGGUUGUAAACUGCUUUUGUACGGAACGAAACGGCCUUUUCUAAUAAAGAGGGCUAAUGACGGUACCGUAAGAAUAAGCACCGGCUAACUACGUGCCAGCAGCCGCGGUAAUACGUAGGGUGCAAGCGUUAAUCGGAAUUACUGGGCGUAAAGCGUGCGCAGGCGGUUAUGUAAGACAGUUGUGAAAUCCCCGGGCUCAACCUGGGAACGGCAUCUGUGACUGCAUAGCUAGAGUACGGUAGAGGGGGAUGGAAUUCCGCGUGUAGCAGUGAAAUGCGUAGAUAUGCGGAGGAACACCGAUGGCGAAGGCAAUCCCCUGGACCUGUACUGACGCUCAUGCACGAAAGCGUGGGGAGCAAACAGGAUUAGAAACCCUAGUAGUCCCAUGAU
rnacentral:rRNA from 1 species